GAGAGCUCAUCCAGACACAGGGAGGAACCUCCAUCUCUAACUUCUGAAGACAAACGAGAGAAGUCACUUGGGAAUGAAGAAGCAUAGACCAUGGAAUUGGAGCUUGAUUUAUUUCUGGAGUUUUUGCAAACUUCAUGGCUAAGGAGGCUUAUCCUCCCAUCAAAAGGAUAUGUGGGAAAUCUGACACAGCUAGAAAGCAAUGGAAAACACUAAGGGUUGCAUCAGAUGUUGAAGAGGAACUGAUCAUACCAUAGAGAUAAAAAUGAUCUCUCUAAGGAGAAUUUUUAAAAUCUGGUUAUUUAAAGGUAGCAGCCUUUUCGAGGAAAACUAACAAGGGUUCCAGAGGCCACCUUACCCUUGCCAGCAAUGUUGGCCUCAUGUUAGAAUGAGGAAUGGAACUAUCUUGAUGCUAUUCCUCUUCCAUUCAGCUUAGACUUGCAAGAGUGGGCUGCAAAUAAAUUUUCAUGGU